rnacentral:rRNA from 1 species
GAUGAACGCUGGCGGCGUGCCUAAUACAUGCAAGUCGAGCGAACAGACGAGGAGCUUGCUCCUCUGACGUUAGCGGCGGACGGGUGAGUAACACGUGGAUAACCUACCUAUAAGACUGGGAUAACUUCGGGAAACCGGAGCUAAUACCGGAUAAUAUAUUGAACCGCAUGGUUCAAUAGUGAAAGACGGUUUUGCUGUCACUUAUAGAUGGAUCCGCGCCGCAUUAGCUAGUUGGUAAGGUAACGGCUUACCAAGGCAACGAUGCGUAGCCGACCUGAGAGGGUGAUCGGCCACACUGGAACUGAGACACGGUCCAGACUCCUACGGGAGGCAGCAGUAGGGAAUCUUGCACAAUGGGCGAAAGCCUGACGGAGCAACGCCGCGUGAGUGAUGAAGGUCUUCGGAUCGUAAAACUCUGUUAUUGGGGAAGAACAAAUGUGUAAGUAACUAUGCACGUCUUGACGGUACCUAAUCAGAAAGCCACGGCUAACUACGUG